rnacentral:rRNA from 1 species
UACAGAGGUCCCAAGCGUUGUUCGGAUUCAUUGGGCGUAAAGGGUGUGUAGGUGGCGCCGUAAGUCGGGUGUGAAAUCUCGGGGCUUAACUCCGAAACUGCAUUCGAUACUGCGGUGCUUGAGGACUGGAGAGGAGACUGGAAUUCACGGUGUAGCAGUGAAAUGCGUAGAUAUCGUGAGGAAGACCAGUGGCGAAGGCGGGUCUCUGGACAGUCCCUGACGCUGAGGCGCGAAGGCCAGGGGAGCAAACGGG